rnacentral:misc_RNA from 1 species
CCAAUAGCGUAUAUUAAAGUUGUUGCAGUUAAAAAGCUCGUAGUUGAAUUUUGGAUUCUACCAAUCGGUCCAUCUUUUGAUGAGUACUGGUUGUGUGGGGUCUAUCCGCCUGGUAAUACGUAAUGUCCUUUAUUGGAUGUUGCGGGUAGUCAGGACCUUUACCUUGAAAAAAUUAGAGUGUUUAAAGCAGGCUUAUGCCGGAAUACAUUAGCAUGGAAUAAUAGAAUAGGACGAAGUUGUUUUAUUUUGUUGGUUUCUAGGACAACCGUAAUGAUUAAUAGGGAUAGUUGGGGGCAUUAGUAUUCAAUUGUCAGAGGUGAAAUUCUUGGAUUUAUUGAAGACUAACUAUUGCGAAAGCAUUUGCCAAGGAUGUUUUCAUUAAUCAAGAACGAAAGUUAGGGGAUCGAAGACGAUCAGAUACCGUCGUAGUCUUAACCAUAAACUAUGCCGACUAGGGAUCGGCUCCUGUUCUUUCUUAGACGGGGCCGGCAGCUUCUG